GACGAACCGUGCGAACGUUGUUCGGAAUCACUGGGCUUAAAGGGCGCGUAGGCGGGCACGCGAGUCAGGGGUGAAAUCCUCCGGCCUAACCGGAGAACGGCUUUUGAUACUGCGUGCCUCGAGGGGGGUAGGGGCAGAGGGAAUUUCCGGUGGAGCGGUGAAAUGCGUAGAGAUCGGAAAGAACACCAACGGCGAAAGCACUCUGCUGGGCCGACACUGACACUGAGAGACGAAAGCUAGGGGAGCGAAUGGG
rnacentral:rRNA from 1 species